rnacentral:misc_RNA from 1 species
GAAAGGAUCGAGAUCCAACAAGAGUGGGGAACACAAAUUCGGAUCUCUUCUUUUCCACCUUGAUUCCUUCCCUUUUUCCAUCAUCUGCAAAAAUGCCCGCCGGAACUCUUGAAGUUCUUCUUGUUUCCGCCAAGGGCCUUGAAAACACCGAUUACCUCUGUAACAUGGAUCCUUAUGUUACUCUUACUUGCCGCUCACAGGAGCAGAAAAGCAGUGUUGCAUCAGGAAAGGGAUCUGACCCUGAAUGGAAUGAGACUUUUGUAUUCACCAUAUCUGAGGGUGCAGAAGAGCUCAUCCUGAAGAUAUUGGACAGUGAUAGUGGCACGCAAGAUGACUUUGUUGGUGAAGUAAAAAUCCCACUUGACCCUGUUUACCUUGGAGGAAGCCUCCCAGAAACAGUAUACAACGUGGUCAAGGAUGAAGAAUACCGUGGAGAGAUCAAAGUUGGCCUUAAAUUUUCUCCUGAGGAAAGGACUGAAAGAAAUUUCCAAAUGGAAGAAGAAGCUUAUGGUGGAUGGAAGCAGUCUUCAUAUACAGAUUGAGAAUCACCACCACUCAGUGAGAUUGUUAAUUGUAUGGUUUGAGAGAAUUGGUAUCCUAUUUGUGUUCAGAGACAAGACCUUUGUUAUGUAAACAACUGCCCUGAUGUUGAUGAUGGUUGGUUUUUUGCUUAUGUUUUAGAUGUCUGGAAUGAAGUCUCGAAAUUUUU